rnacentral:rRNA from 1 species
UGGGGAAUAUUGGACAAUGGGGGGAACCCUGAUCCAGCCAUGCCGCGUGUGUGAAGAAGGCCUUAUGGUUGUAAAGCACUUUAAGCGAGGAGGAGGCUACUUUAGUUAAUACCUAGAGAUAGUGGACGUUACUCGCAGAAUAAGCACCGGCUAACUCUGUGCCAGCAGCCGCGGUAAUACAGAGGGUGCGAGCGUUAAUCGGAUUUACUGGGCGUAAAGCGUGCGUAGGCGGCUUAUUAAGUCGGAUGUGAAAUCCCCGAGCUUAACUUGGGAAUUGCAUUCGAUACUGGUGAGCUAGAGUAUGGGAGAGGAUGGUAGAAUUCCAGGUGUAGCGGUGAAAUGCGUAGAGAUCUGGAGGAAUACCGAUGGCGAAGGCAGCCAUCUGGCCUAAUACUGACGCUGAGGUACGAAAGCAUGGGGAGCAAACAGGAUUAGAUACCCUGGUAGUCCAUGCCGUAAACGAUGUCUACUAGCCGUUGGGGCCUUUGAGGCUUUAGUGGCGCAGCUAACGCGAUAAGUAGACCGCCUGGGGAGUACGGUCGCAAGACU